UAUGUUUUUAUCUGAAACCUAAUCAGCAUGGAAGAACAAGUUAUUAGUCGUGCACAUCGGAUGGGUGCUACUCGUCCCAUUCAUGUGGAAACUUUAGCAAUGCGUGGUACAAUUGAAGAGCAAAUGUUGGAAUUCUUACAGGAUGCUACUGACUGUAGAAAAUUCUUGAGGGAUGAGUAUGGAAAACCUGAGCUUGAAGGGUCAAGAAACAUUCGCACAAUACAUGAUUUUGCUGAGAGCAAUUAUUUGGCUCGGCUUAGUUCUGUCCGGACAAAUACCAAAGCAUGAAGCUGUGUUGCAACUGUUUUGUUAUACGUGGAGUUUUCACCUUCUUAGUGUUGUGAUCUGUUGGUCGUGCUGCUUUUGAUGAUAGAAAGGAUAACAUCUUCUCAGUGACUCGCCACUUUUGUUUAUUGACGAUUUGGAUCUUCUGAUUAUUCAAGUGAUUUCUUUCUGUACAAAAUUCAAAUGAUUUUUUUUUUUAUUAGAAGAACGAAAGAGAAGGCAGAAGGAAAAGAAAAACAAGAGGUAGGCAGCAGGAAAGUGCUGCAACUCCAUGUUAUGAGACGUGGAUUUUUUGUCGCAGUUGCAUCCAUGGGGACAAGAGCAAGAAUUCUUAUUCCCUGAGCCAUUUUUUGAACCAUUUGGAGAGAGCAAGAUAAGAGGUAUUUUUCGGUUCCAAAUUUUUCAUAUUUUGUCUAACGAUGAUAAUUGUCGUAAGGGAAAAAAUCUUGAUAUUUUAUCUCAUUUCUUUUUGCACAUUCAUGGAUUGCGCCCUCUUUAGUCCAUAAUACUUGUCCAAAAAAUUACUCGUACGAUUUUCUGUCAGAUGCCUGACCUUUUUCCAGAUUUCUUUAUAAAAUCAUCCUUGAUAGGAUUGUUGCUCGCAA